rnacentral:rRNA from 1 species
UGCAAGUCGAGCGGACCGACGGGAGCUUGCUCCCUUAGGUCAGCGGCGGACGGGUGAGUAACACGUGGGUAACCUGCCUGUAAGACUGGGAUAACUCCGGGAAACCGGGGCUAAUACCGGAUGCUUGAUUGAACCGCAUGGUUCAAUCAUAAAAGGUGGCUUUUAGCUACCACUUGCAGAUGGACCCGCGGCGCAUUAGCUAGUUGGUGAGGUAACGGCUCACCAAGGCGACGAUGCGUAGCCGACCUGAGAGGGUGAUCGGCCACACUGGGACUGAGACACGGCCCAGACUCCUACGGGAGGCAGCAGUAGGGAAUCUUCCGCAAUGGACGAAAGUCUGACGGAGCAACGCCGCGUGAGUGAUGAAGGUUUUCGGAUCGUAAAACUCUGUUGUUAGGGAAGAACAAGUACCGUUCGAAUAGGGCGGCACCUUGACGGUACCUAACCAGAAAGCCACGGCUAACUACGUGCCAGCAGCCGCGGUAAUACGUAGGUGGCAAGCGUUGUCCGGAAUUAUUGGGCGUAAAGCGCGCGCAGGCGGUUUCUUAAGUCUGAUGUGAAAGCCCCCGGCUCAACCGGGGAGGGUCAUUGGAAACUGGGGAACUUGAGUGCAGAAGAGGAGAGUGGAAUUCCACGUGUAGCGGUGAAAUGCGUAGAGAUGUGGAGGAACACCAGUGGCGAAGGCGACUCUCUGGUCUGUAACUGACGCUGAGGCGCGAAAGCGUGGGGAGCGAACAGGAUUAGAUACCCUGGUAGUCCACGCCGUAAACGAUGAGUGCUAAGUGUUAGAGGGUUUCCGCCCUUUAGUGCUGCAGCAAACGCAUUAAGCACUCCGCCUGGGGAGUACGGUCGCAAGACUGAAACUCAAAGGAAUUGACGGGGGCCCGCACAAGCGGUGGAGCAUGUGGUUUAAUUCGAAGCAACGCGAAGAACCUUACCAGGUCUUGACAUCCUCUGACAACCCUAGAGAUAGGGCUUCCCCUUCGGGGGCAGAGUGACAGGUGGUGCAUGGUUGUCGUCAGCUCGUGUCGUGAGAUGUUGGGUUAAGUCCCGCAACGAGCGCAACCCUUGAUCUUAGUUGCCAGCAUUCAGUUGGGCACUCUAAGGUGACUGCCGGUGACAAACCGGAGGAAAGUUGGGGAUGACGUCAAAUCAUCAUGCCCCUUAUGACCUGGGCU